AAAACAUACACUUCGGGUCUUACUACCCAUAUUUUGGCAUAAUCACUCUCCUCUUGCGAGAAGGGCUCUUUAGAAUUUACCCAUAGGUUCAAGUCCUGUCGAACCCAGUCUUCAGAUGAUCCAAACACGGGCCAGAAAACAUUUUUCGAAAUCUCUUUCCCACCCCAUACUUCCACGCAAUAAUGUAUCAGUCUGGCCUUAUCCUUAGUCUCGGUCCCCGGGUAAUGUUUCCAAUUACUAAGCAUGAAUCCUAGGGGACUGUCCCUUGGAAUGAGGGGGAGUUUGACUUGGGUUGGGGUCUUGCUUUUCCCCUGCCCCAUUCGUCCGGAGUGCCUUCUUUCACUCUCAAAUUCCUUUCACUUCCCCUUUUUCGUGGCCCGAGCCCUUCGCGGGUCUACGGGAACCGCACUACUCAAGGGUCCGCACUCACUUGGAGAGUCCGGCUGCCGGCCCUCCUCUCAUUCACACUUGUCCACCGCCACACUCCGGGAUCCCAACCCCGCCCGAACGGAUUCCCUUUUAUACUCACGCGUCCUGCGUCUUCGUCCGGACUCCGUGCACAGAUUAUUAAGGGGUUCACCGGUAUAAUUUGUCCCGUUUGCUUACUAGUAUAUAUUUUAGGGUCGUCGGUGAGAGUGGCGGAGGUUCUCCCAGAGGGGCCACCCAGAAAGCACUGGAUGAGACGCCCCCCACUCUGGGUAGAUCUACCCGAUCCAAACUCUCAUCCGAGUCACAGCACCAAAUUGUUAUAAAAUUGACUCAAAACGAGUAAUUUCCAAUCAAAGAAUUUAUUAAUUAUUGAAACAGUUAUACUACGUAAGCAAAAGGCUCAACGCUGGGCGACAGGGGAGUUUCCGCUCCACCAGCUGCCGCGCCAACUAGUUUCUGAUUCAGUCCUUUUAUCUUCUCUCUCCUUCAGGAGUUCACGUCAUCUCGGAGUUCUCUGCGCCUGCGCUGGUUGUUGCUAGGGGGGUCAUCCUUCUGCCUCCUGGUGGUCGGUGAUGAAGGCUGCGGAGUCUUCCUCAGCUGCGUCUUCUUCACCCUAUGUCUUUAUUUGGUGACUUCUCCGUGGAAAAUUACCAAGAUCUUAUGAUUAACGCAAUAUGUGCCCUAUUAAGCUUAAGCAAGCAAAUAUCCUGCCUUGCAAACUGUUUAUCUGCCCCUGCCCCUUCCCCAGCUUUUCCCUGGUCGUUAUUUCUGUGAGUUAUCUGCUUGUACCAUUUGUCAGCAGGAAAGGUUUCCCUGCUGGGUGUUAAUCUGCCCCUGCCCCUUCCCCAGCUUUUCCCUGGUCGUUAUUUCUGUGAGUUAUCUGCUUGUACCAUUUGCUGGGUGGGACCAUGUGUGGGCUCCUGCAACCCCUUCCCUGGUAUCCUUGUGGCUCAUAUCUCAUGAAGUAGUACAGAAAUAGUCAGCAGACAACUCUUGUAACACACUGGUCUCUUUCUCGUGACGAACAAAAGGUAGUCUCUCAUCUCACCAAAUUGUCCCGAGUGGCAAAAAUACGACAGGCAGAGAACCUGCCUGGAUCCCAGAGCUGUUUUCCUGCUCACACCGCCCUCCCUCCCCGGGAGGCAGUGGCUGCCGGGCAGGCCCGGCCUCGCCAUGGUGACCGCGCGCCGCCCGUGCCCGCGGGGCCGCGCACAGCGGCGGGGACAGCGCCGGGCCCGGGCCCAGCUCCCCGGGCUCCCACACCCACCCCGGCACCGCAGCGCCCCGGGGCCCGGCCCCCGCCGCGCCUGGGGACCCCCGGCCUGGCCGGGCAGCGGGGGAGAAGCAGCCGCCGGCCCGGGAGCGCCAAGCGGGGCGAGCAGGGCCGGGGUGAAACCAAUGGAGGAGGAAAAGGGAGAAGCUGGCAGUGAGGAAAAAGAUCACAUCCCCCCGGAAGAUGAGAGCAGCAGUACAGAGGAAUGUCUCCCAGAGGACGAGGAAAAAGAGAAAGGUAUUGUGUUUGCUCUACUAGAACGUGCUUUUCAGGAGGAUUUGUUAGCAUUUUAUCUGUUUCAGAAAGCAAGCAUGUCAUCAAAAAUAUCCCAUGGACUACAGCUAAGAACUUCACAGUGGAGAUAGGACAGCAGCAAAUUGAAGAACUAAUUUCUGUGAGUCACAAUUCCAUCCACUCAGGAAGGCCACACUUUCUCACUGUUAAGAAACAUGGGACAUUCAUGAAAGCUGGCUUCACCACUCAGAAUUUCUCGAGGAAGAAGAACUGAAGGACAGCAAGAGGUACCAUUACAGAGCUUGCUGGGGCCUCCCAACACGCAGAAAACCCAUCCCACGAGCAACAGCGAGUGUCUACUUCGUUAUAGUGAUCUCCAAACUCAAACCUGACACUGCACCUGUGGAGGUGUUCUACAGACUGGAGUCCAGCAGGCUGAUUCGGAGGCCAGAACAGUGUGAGUUUAGAGAAAAGUGGCUUCAGGACAUAAUUGAAAAUAAAACAGUGUGUGCAGAAAGACUUGCUUCCCGAUGAGCAGCUCCAAUUCACCAUUACCAGUCCUCUGUUGUGGAGAACCAAAUAAACAUGAUGGAAAAAAAAAAAAAAAAGCUCUUCCUUAGCAGCAUUUCUACUUUGUGGAUAGAUAAGAAGCAUUGAACCUGUGCAAAAUGAGCUAUGCCCUGCCAUGGCAGCUGGCUGUGUGUGACAGUCCCUGGUGGGGACAGCAGGAUGGAACCAGGUUCCACAGUGUGAAUGGGAAGAGGUACCUGGGCAGGAUUUGCUGUUUGUGAAUGCCAGGUCUGUGGAACUCCAGGGAAAACAUUAUAGGACUUUUAUUUUCUUGAUAAAAAUAUACAAGACAUCUCUGUUGCUAGACUUAGAGGAAAAAAAAAUAAAUUAGGAGAACAAAAAAA